UACGAAGGGGGCUAGCGUUGCUCGGAAUCACUGGGCGUAAAGGGUGCGUAGGCGGGUCUUUAAGUCAGGGGUGAAAUCCUGGAGCUCAACUCCAGAACUGCCUUUGAUACUGAAGAUCUUGAGUUCGGGAGAGGUGAGUGGAACUGCGAGUGUAGAGGUGAAAUUCGUAGAUAUUCGGAAGAACACCAGUGGCGAAGGCGGCUUACUGGUCCGGUACUGACGCUGAGGUGCGAAAGCGUGGGAGCAAACAGG
rnacentral:rRNA from 1 species